rnacentral:sRNA from 1 species
GCCGGAGCCGCUCAGCUCCUCCUAGCGCGCGCCAGCCCGCUGCCGCCGCCUCCCGCCGGAGCUGCUCGCCUCCUUCACGUGCUCGCCCGCCGGAGCCGCCUCACCCUACCCACCGCUGCCUGCUUCCCUGCUCGCGCCGCGCCGUGAUGGAGAGGAAAGAGAGGCGGGGUCUGCUCGCCCUACCCCGCCGCCUCCUCGCGUGCGCAGGCCGGACAUCCAGGCGUCGCCGCCGGAAAGGGGAUAUGAGGUGGCGGAGAUUCUUGCUAGGAGGAGGAGAGGGGGCCAUUGGAGGAGGGCUAGAGGUCGCUGCGCAUGGCCCGUGGGCGGUGGAGAGAUGAAGCCAGGAGGACGUCAGCGUCGGCGAGGUUGACUGGGCAAGAGGCGAGCGUCAACAGACGUUCCAGGGAGGAGCAGUCCGCUGGCGCGGUCGCAUGAGAGGGUGCCGACCGGAGGCAGAGCCGAGGACCCCUAGGACCGCACCCGCGCCACCACUGCUGCCAUCGUCAACAUCCUAUAUGAUUUUUCGUUGUUGUUGUUAUCAGGGAUGCGCUGGAACAAGGGCACAGGACCAGGGCCGCUGGACAUCAUCGAUGCUAGCAGAUAAGGACACCAACAACAGUUGAGGUUGAUGUUCCAUAUUCAUGCUUGCAAUGUGUUUGAUGAAAUGUUUAACUAGCACUAGCAUCAUCUCUUGUUUACAAUUUGACUAUUUGUAUUGAUGUCAUACUAACCAAAUUUCAGGUUGAUUGUUUACUGCUUUCAAAUUAACAAUUCAAUGGUUCUUGAUGUGUUCUACUUAACCUUUGCAUUUGUAGUAGUGUAAUUCUGAAGGUACAAAACACUAUUUCUACUGAACUUCGUCAAUUUAAGCAAAACUUUUGAACAUAUGGUCAUCCAUUGAGGCUCCCGCAAUUCCAGUUUGCAUGUUCUGCCACCAUUUUGGAUCAUAUUUUCCAUGCUUAUGGAAGGACUUAAUGAACUGAAGUAGUUUGUGUUGGCAGUGAUCUCCAUUGGAUAUCCCGUCUCUUCAGCCGGUCGUCAAUGAUACAACCAGGUCACGCAUGAGGUAGCAGUCCACUCCAACCCACCUACUGAAGACUUGUCUCAUUUGGUUUGAUUGAUGCGUGGAGUGAGGCACAUGCUGUCCAGAUCAAGUAGAACAUCAGCUUAUGAGAUCUGAAAGCAACAAAAGGUUGCCAUAUGUUCAUCUGGAGUCUGAAAGCUGGCCUUGGUCUGCUUCAUUUUGGUGUUGUUGUGACUCCAACCGGUGACCGGAGCCCGUACUCACCGCUAGCUACCAUCCCCAACCUGCCCCAAUCUUUCUCCAGGUUAUGUUGCUAGCACUUGAUCUGUACACGCUGUGGGAUAAUUGCUUGUUGACAAGGAAGAUCAAAUCCUGAUGGUGGAAGAAUGGCACCCCCUGUGCUCCAGCUAACAAUCUGAUUAGUUUCCUAGAUGCUUGAUUAUUGAUUUUAUGUGUGAUCAUUUUAUUUUGUUUUUGUAUCAGGGCUGCAUAGAGUAUAAAAGCUUUGCCCCCCUAUGCUUGCACUGAGAGACUCUUCCGUAGCUGUCAUCGCAUAUAGUGUUGCAAGCAGUAUCCUAAACACUUAAAAGUAGGACUCACUAAAUUGAAGAAAAAACAAAUAGCUCUACCUUGCUUAUGAUGGUCCUUCAUAUUGGAGCACAUCUUCCAUGGGUCUGUAGCAGCUCAUCCUGCUCAAGGUUGACUAUAAGUUUUGGUCAGUGAAGGGGAUGUAAUUAGUAAUGGAAUUAGAACACAGGUUCCUUGACGAAAUUUGAAGAUGUAACCCGCCACCCAUGUUUCGCAGCCAUCGCCCAUGGACUUGCCAAGUUUCUGGUGGUGCCCAUUGUGGAUGAAAUUACUGAUUGCCUGAAGUACUCAAAGUUUCAUGAGUAUAACAAAGAUUACAGCUUGGGUAUCUGUAAAGUGGUUAUGUUGAGAUAAAAGGACAAUAAUUUGAGAUUUCUGUUU